CAACAGGGAUUGCCUCAGUAACGGCGAGUGAAGCGGCAAUAGCUCAAAUUUGAAAUCUGGCUCUUUCAGAGUCCGAGUUGUAAUUUGUAGAGGAUGCUUCGGCUUACGUUUCGGUCUAAGUUCCUUGGAACAGGACGUCACAGAGGGUGAGAAUCCCGUUUGUGGCCGAGACUUCCGCCAUGUGAAGCUCCUUCGACGAGUCGAGUUGUUUGGGAAUGCAGCUCUAAAUGGGAGGUAUAUUUCUUCUAAAGCUAAAUACCGGCCAGAGACCGAUAGCGCACAAGUAGAGUGAUCGAAAGAUGAAAAGCACUUUGGAAAGAGAGUUAAAAAGUACGUGAAAUUGUUGAAAGGGAAGCGCUUGCGACCAGACUUGCCCGCGGAUGCUCAACCGGUCCUUCGGCCGGUGCACUCUUCCGCGGUCAGGCCAGCAUCAGUUCGAGCGGUCGGAUAAAGGCCUUGGGAAUGUGGCUCUCUUCGGGGAGUGUUAUAGCCCUUGGUGUAAUACGGCCCGCCUGGACUGAGGCCCGCGCUUCGGCUAGGAUGCUGGCGUAAUGGUCGUAAGCGGCCCGUCUUGAAACACGGACCAAGGAGUCUAACAUCUAUGCGAGUGUUUGGGUGUCAAACCCGUGCGCGAAAUGAAAGUGAACGGAGGUGGGAACCUUAGGGUGCACCAUCGACCGAUCCUGAUGUCUUCGGAUGGAUUUGAGUAAGAGCAUAGCUGUUGGGACCCGAAAGAUGGUGAACUAUGCCUGAAUAGGGUGAAGCCAGAGGAAACUCUGGUGGAGGCUCGCAGCGGUUCUGACGUGCAAAUCGAUCGUCAAAUUUGGGUAUAGGGGCGAAAGACUAAUCGAACCAUCU
rnacentral:rRNA from 1 species